GAAUAGCAGAGGCAGAGAGGUAGGUGAGAGGACAUUGUAAGUAAUUCCUCUCUUUCUCUCUCUCUUUGUCAUUUGAUACCCCAAAAAGAGUUUCACAUGCACCAAUCAAAAUCGGAAUCAAGCGCGAACGAAGGUCUUCGGAAAACUCCGUCACGGCCGGACAAUCAAAAUCUAGGUAUAAAUCCUCAUACUCCAUUAGCUAGGGCAUUUCUAUCCGGUGAGAGUAGUGGUUUAGGGCAGUGAAGAUGGAGAUGAAGAGGCCGGUAGUGAUGGUGGUUGAGGGAUGGAGUGAGGAAGCCGGUAGUGAUGGUUGUUGAGGGAUGGAGAGAGAGAGAGAGCGAGAGAAAGAUGGAGAUGAGGGAGGCCGGUAGUGAUGGUGGUUGAGGGAUGGAGUGAGGAGGCCGGUAGUGAUGGUUGUUGAGGGAUGGAGAGAGAGAGAGAGAGAGUGAGUGAUGAGCGGUAGUGGGAAGACUGAGAGGACUUGGUUCGUUCUCGACCCCUGGUUCUUCCCGGCGCUCUCGGCUCUCUUGCUCCGCCCUCACCGCCCUCACGAUCCCGCCAAUGACGACCAUGAGUGAUGAUGGAGAGAGGACGUGCCCCCUCUGUGCGGAGGAGAUGGACCUCACUGACCAACAACUGAAACCUUGCAAAUGUGGAUAUGAGUUCUCAAUUCGACGGUGUUGUGCUCGAUGUGGAUAGUGGGGGUGUGCGGGAGCCAGUACAGCAGUGCUUGUGGGAUUGUCAGGUGUUGGUUUUCAGGGAAGCACGCCUACUUGGAGGGGAUUCCGACGAGUUGGGGA